GACGAACGCUGGCGGCGUGCUUAACACAUGCAAGUCGAGCGAACAGACGAGGAUCUUACUCCUCUCACGUUAGCGGCGGACGGGUGAGUAACGCGUGGAUAACCUACCUAUAUGACUGGGAUAACUUCGAGACACCGGAGCUAAUACCGGAUAACCUGCUGAACCGCAUGGUGCUAGAGAGAUUGACGGUCUUGGUGUCAAUUCUCGAUGGAUCCGCGUCGUAUUAGCUAGUUGGUAGGGUAACGGCUUACCACGGAAACGAUGCGUGGACGAGCGGAGAGGGUGAUCGGCCACACUGGAGCUGAGACGCGGUCCAGGCUCCUACGGGAGGCAGCAGUAGGGAAUGGUACGCACUGGGCGGAAGCCUGCCGGAGCAGCGCCGCGUGAGUGAAGAAGGUCUUCGGGUCGUAAAACUCUGUUAUUGGGGAAGAACAAAUGUGUAAGUAACUACGCACGUCGUGACGGUACCUGGUCAGGAAGCCACGGCUAACUACGUG
rnacentral:rRNA from 1 species